GAUUUACAUCGUGGCAUUUGAACCAGAACUAAAUCAACAUAUUGAUGGCUUGUAUAUAGACUUAGCAUUUUUCUUCCUUGAACCGCCUCGUCGUUAGGAGGAAUUGCAGUUAUCUAAUUUUUUUCAAUCACUAUACUGUUAUCUAAUUAGACAGCUAAAUGGAUUGGUCUGCACUAAGUAUGUUAUAUUGCUUAGAACAACUAAAUGGCCUGGUCUUUUUCCAAAUCGUCCACAUGUUGUUUGCACUAUAUAUGUUGGCAUGCACGCCAUAUAUGCUAUUGUAUUUCUUAGAACAACUUAAGAUUCUGUACACACCCCGUCCCCAAACUCAGAAAGUCAGGAUGGUAUUUUUCACGUUUUUUUUCUUUUUCUUCCCCUCGUCGCAUGCUCUUUCCUUCAUCAUGCCUCCUCCCUCUCUCGCAAGAUAUUUUUCGACAAUCUCUAUGGUGUGAUUGUGCGGAAUUGUGUCUACUACGACACUGUGAAAUUCCGUCAAUGAUCCAACGGUGGAAUCUCCUGCAAAUUCCAAAACACCGUGUGUUGUUCGGAUUUCGUGCGGCUGUGCGUGACAUUACGAAUGUCUGACUUGUUCACCUGUUUCACACUGCGUUCGUCAAGCAUUGUUUCGACGAACCCCUCGGUGGGAUUGUGCGGAAUCUUGGCGACUAUGAUCCUCUAAAAUUUCGUCGUGGUGAAAUCUCCGGGAAACUCCAAAACACCAAGUGCUGGUUGGAUUUCUCGAAGCCGUGCGGGACAGCACGAGGGU
rnacentral:lncRNA from 1 species